rnacentral:rRNA from 1 species
GGUGUGACUGCGUACCUUUUGUAUAAUGGGUCAGCGACUUAUAUUCUGUAGCAAGGUUAACCGUAUAGGGGAGCCGAAGGGAAACCGAGUCUUAACUGGGCGUUAAGUUGCAGGGUAUAGACCCGAAACCCGGUGAUCUAGCCAUGGGCAGGUUGAAGGUUGGGUAACACUAACUGGAGGACCGAACCGACUAAUGUUGAAAAAUUAGCGGAUGACCUGUGGCUGGGGGUGAAAGGCCAAUCAAACCGGGAGAUAGCUGGUUCUCCCCGAAAGCUAUUUAGGUAGCGCCUCGUGAACUCAUCUUCGGGGGUAGAGCACUGUUUCGGCUAGGGGGCCAUCCCGGCUUACCAACCCGAUGCAAACUACGAAUACCGAAGAAUGUUAUCACGGGAGACACACGGCGGGUGCUAACGUCCGUCGUGAAGAGGGAAACAACCCAGACCGCCAGCUAAGGUCCCAAAGUCAUGGUUAAGUGGGAAACGAUGUGGGAAGGCCCAGACAGCCAGGAUGUUGGCUUAGAAGCAGCCAUCAUUUAAAGAAAGCGUAAUAGCUCACUGGUCGAGUCGGCCUGCGCGGAAGAUGUAACGGGGCUAAACCAUGCACCGAAGCUGCGGCAGCGACACUAUGUGUUGUUGGGUAGGGGAGCGUUCUGUAAGCCGUUGAAGGUGGCCUGUGAGGGCUGCUGGAGGUAUCAGAAGUGCGAAUGCUGACAUAAGUAACGAUAAAGCGGGUGAAAAGCCCGCUCGCCGGAAGACCAAGGGUUCCUGUCCAACGUUAAUCGGGGCAGGGUGAGUCGACCCCUAAGGCGAGGCCGAAAGGCGUAGUCGAUGGGAAACAGGUUAAUAUUCCUGUACUUGGUGUUACUGCGAAGGGGGGACGGAGAAGGCUAUGUUAGCCGGGCGACGGUUGUCCCGGUUUAAGCAUGUAGGCGGAGGUUCCAGGUAAAUCCGGUACCUUUUAACGCUGAGGUGUGAUGACGAGGCACUACGGUGCUGAAGUAACAAAUGCCCUGCUUCCAGGAAAAGCCUCUAAGCAUCAGGUAACAUCAAAUCGUACCCCAAACCGACACAGGUGGUCAGGUAGAGAAUACCAAGGCGCUUGAGAGAACUCGGGUGAAGGAACUAGGCAAAAUGGUGCCGUAACUUCGGGAGAAGGCACGCUGAUAUGUAGGUGA